rnacentral:rRNA from 1 species
AUGAGCCAUGCGCCCGGGUUGGAGCGGCUCACGCGGUCCGUCCCCGGCGAGGCCACGAAGGGCGUCACCAUGGAGGCGAGCGCGACGGGGGAGCCCGAGAGGUCGUGCACCGUGACGGACCACCCCUUGCGCUCCUUCCCGGCCGCCUCCCGCUCCGUCUGCGCGGCCGACCUCCGCAGGUCGCUGUUGGUGCGGCAGCCGAACUUGCAGGUGAACAUGGGCUGCUUCAUGCUGCCCCGGACCUGCAUCACCUGCGGGCUGCACUCCGGCUCGCCGUCGAACUCGAACACGAACCGCGGAUCAGGCUCCGCGCGGACGGUGAGGCUGAGCUCCGCGGCCGCGGACCCACCACCCUUGCCGCCAACGCCGCGCCUCCCGACGGAAAUCCAGCCGCUGUGCAGCACCGCGGGCUUGGCCUCGGCGCCCUUGAGAUCCAGCGAGAUGGUGGCCUUCCCGAGCAGCCGCCCGGAGCUGACCCCGCAGGUGGUGCCCUUGCGGCCGGCGUAG